GUAAAAUACGAAGAUGAAAGCUCUCCAGCAAUUAUUUUGAAGCUGAGUGAAAAUAAAGACAGGCUGCUGAAACGUCUUCAUCAGGUAGAGUCAGAGAGAAAGAAAAAAGAUGAGGGCAAACUUCCUGACAAAAGACCAAUAAAAAGGAAGGAAAUAUUUAGUCCAGAAAACAGUCCAUCGCCAAGUCCAGAGAAGAGAUGCAAAAGAGUUGACGAACCACAGAAGGACAAACUGUUGUUCAAAAAAAUCCAAGAGAAAGCCAAAGAAAACAACGAACCGAAUGAACUUAGAAGAGAAAUCAAGG